rnacentral:rRNA from 1 species
ACGAACGCUGGCGGCAUGCUUAACACAUGCAAGUCGAACGCGAAAGGGACUUCGGUCCUGAGUAAAGUGGCGCACGGGUGAGUAACGCGUAGAUAACCUGUCUUCAUGUCUGGAAUAAUACGCCAAAGGGGUACUAAUACCGGAUAUUCUUGCUUUUCAUAAGUUAUGCAAGCAAAGGUGGCCUCUGCAUAUGCUACUGCAUGAAGAGGGGUCUGCGUACCAUUAGCUAGUAGGUGGGGUAAUGGCCUACCUAGGCGACGAUGGUUAGCGGGUCUGAGAGGAUGAUCCGCCACACUGGCACUGGAACACGGGCCAGACUCCUACGGGAGGCAGCAGUGAGGAAUAUUGCGCAAUGGGGGAAACCCUGACGCAGCGACGCCGCGUGAGUUGAGGAAGGCCUUCGGGUCGUAAAGCUCUGUCAAGAGGAAAGAAGUGUACAAUGGCUAAUACCUGUUGUAUUUGACGGUACCUCUAAAGGAAGCACCGGCUAACUCCGUGCCAGCAGCUGC